GUUUCCCCUUUUUUGUCCCUAAUUGCUUGAUGGUUUGAAUGCCAACAUUUGGGACCAUUACCCCCAAAAUAAAUUCAAACCUUCUACCUGUGGUAUUAAACAUUGAUGGUACAAUUUCAGAGCAAUUGAAAUGCUUAUACACUAGUUGAUAUCCUGAAAGUCUAAAAAUGCUUGUGUUGGGUCCCUUAUUACAAAACAGUAGGGACCAUCAUCCCCAAAAUCAAUCCCAACCUUCCUUUUGAGGUAUUGAACCUUUUUCUUAAAUUUC
rnacentral:lncRNA from 1 species